GUGCCAGCCGCCGCGGUAAUACGUAGGGUGCAAGCGUUAAUCGGAAUUACUGGGCGUAAAGCGCGCGUAGGUGGUUUGUUAAGUUGGAUGUGAAAGCCCCGGGCUCAACCUGGGAACUGCAUCCAAAACUGCCGAGCUAGAGUGCGGUAGAGGAAGGUGGAAUUUCGUGUGUAGCGGUGAAAUGCGUAGAUAUU
rnacentral:rRNA from 1 species